rnacentral:rRNA from 1 species
UACGGAGGGGGCUAGCGUUGUUCGGAAUUACUGGGCGUAAAGCGCGCGUAGGCGGCUUUGUAAGUCAGAGGUGAAAGCCCGGAGCUCAACUCCGGAACUGCCUUUAAGACUGCAUCGCUUGAAUCCAGGAGAGGUGAGUGGAAUUCCGAGUGUAGAGGUGAAAUUCGUAGAUAUUCGGAAGAACACCAGUGGCGAAGGCGGCUCACUGGACUGGUAUUGACGCUGAGGUGCGAAAGCGUGGGGAGCAAACAGG